GAUGAACGCUAGCUACAGGCUUAACACAUGCAAGUCGAGGGACCGGCGCACGGGUGAGUAACACGUAUCCAACCUGCCCUUUACUCGGGGAUAGCCUUUCGAAAGAAAGAUUAAUACCCGAUAUAAAGGAUGGGGAUGCGUUCCAUUAGGUUGUUGGUGAGGUAACGGCCCACCAAGCCUUCGAUGGCUAGGGGUUCUGAGAGGAAGGUCCCCCACAUUGGAACUGAGACACGGGCCAAACUCCUACGGGAGGCAGCAGUGAGGAAUAUUGGUAAAUGGGCGUUAGCCUGAACCAGCCAAGUAACGUGAAGGAUGAAUGCUUAUGGGUCGUAAACUUCUUUUGUAUAAGAGUAGGUAUUAAAUGAAUAAAGAGCGGCUAACUCCGUGCCAGCAGCCGCGGUAAUAC
rnacentral:rRNA from 1 species